rnacentral:rRNA from 1 species
AUGCGUAUGGCUCGGCUGUUUUUCACGCGCUAUCGGACUCAUAGGCUAAGCGCGGCUCGGCUCCUUGCCUCUACAUCGGCUCAGUUCGCACAGAGAACAGAGCAUCUAUCCUGGCUCCCAGACCCUUUGCACAAUGUCGUGCCGCCGCCGCCGCCGCCGCCGGGAAUCGCCUCGCAGCCGCCGGGAUUCGCUUCCGCGCCGCCACCGACCGCAUCGCCGCCGCCGGAGUUGCCUCCGCGCCGCCGCCGGGAGUCGCCCCCGCCGGUCCCUGGAGUCGCAUCCGCAAGGCCGGCCAUGGCACAAACUCGCGUCGGCAAGAGUAAUUAG